UGAUUGUCCCACAUUGAGCUGAUAUAAAGA
rnacentral:piRNA from 1 species